GUCAUAUGCUUGUCUCAAAGAUUAAGCCAUGCAUGUCUCAGUACAAGCCAAAUUAAGGUGAAACCGCGAAAGGCUCAUUAAAUCAGUUAUGGUUCCUUAGAUCGUACCCACAAUUACUUGGAUAACUGUGGUAAUUCUAGAGCUAAUACAUGCAAACAGAGCUCCGACCGGAGACGGGAGGAGUGCUUUUAUUAGAUCAAAACCAAUCGGUGGCGGGUUCAACGCUCGUCAUCGUACAACUUGGUGACUCUGAAUAACUUUACGCUGAUCGCACGGUCAUCGCACCGGCGACGCAUCUUUCAAAUGUCUGCCUUAUCAACUGUCGAUGGUAGGUUCUGCGCCUACCAUGGUUGUAACGGGUAACGGGGAAUCAGGGUUCGAUUCCGGAGAGGGAGCCUGAGAAACGGCUACCACAUCCAAGGAAGGCAGCAGGCGCGCAAAUUACCCACUCCCGGCACGGGGAGGUAGUGACGAAAAAUAACGAUACGGGACUCAUCCGAGGCCCCGUAAUCGGAAUGAGUACACUCUAAACCCUUUAACGAGGAUCAAUUGGAGGGCAAGUCUGGUGCCAGCAGCCGCGGUAAUUCCAGCUCCAAUAGCGUAUAUUAAAGUUGUUGCGGUUAAAAAGCUCGUAGUCGAAUUUGUGUCUCGCGCCGCCGGUUCAUCGUCCGCGGUGUUAACUGGCGAGUCGCGAGACGUCCUGCCGGUGGGCUUAGCUCGCGAGGGCGGUCCAACUCAAUCCUGCCGCGGUGCUCUUCAUUGAGUGUCGAGGUGGGCCGGCACGUUUACUUUGAACAAAUUAGAGUGCUUAAAGCAGGCUAAAACUUCGCCUGAAUAUUGUGUGCAUGGAAUAAUGGAAUAGGACCUCGGUUCUAUUUUGUUGGUUUUCGGAACCCCGAGGUAAUGAUUAAUAGGAACGGAUGGGGGCAUUCGUAUUGCGACGUUAGAGGUGAAAUUCUUGGAUCGUCGC
rnacentral:rRNA from 1 species